rnacentral:rRNA from 1 species
UACGAAGGGGGCUAGCGUUGUUCGGAAUUACUGGGCGUAAAGCGCGCGCAGGCGGCUAUCCAAGUCAGUGGUGAAAGCCCGGAGCUUAACUCCGGAAUUGCCUUUAAAACUGCAUCGCUAGAAUUGUGGAGAGGUGAGUGGAAUUCCGAGUGUAGAGGUGAAAUUCGUAGAUAUUCGGAAGAACACCAGUGGCGAAGGCGACUCACUGGACACAUAUUGACGCUGAGGUGCGAAAGCGUGGGGAGCAAACAGG